CCCCUCUCAGGAUCACACCUGGAGAGUUUCCAGUACUCUACCAUUCUCGACUAAGAGAGGGAGAGUCAAGUGGAGGCAUACCCAUUCCAUUCCUAGCUUGUGCAGUGGCUAGAGAGUGGAAGGUAAUCUGCUACAAAU